UACGAAGGGGGCUAGCGUUGUUCGGAAUUACUGGGCGUAAAGCGCACGUAGGCGGCUUGGUAAGUUGGGGGUGAAAUCCCGGGGCUCAACCUCGGAAUUGCCUUCAAGACUGCUUGGCUUGAGUUCGGAAGAGGCGAGUGGAACUCCUGGUGUAGCGGUGGAAUGCGCAGAUAUCAGGAAGAACACCAACGGCGAAGGCAGCUCGCUGGGACGGUAACUGACGCUGGAGACGCGAAAGCGUGGGGAGCGAACAGG
rnacentral:rRNA from 1 species